CACUUGACCCUCAGACCUUUGAACUCAGACUAAGACUUGCUAACCUUGGUCCCAGUGGUUACGCACUUGGGCCACUCUACCAGCUGUCCUGAGACUCCAGUCUGGAGAUGGGGUUUUUCAGCUUUCACACACCAGCCAAUUUCUUGUAGGGUGCCCGGACUGAUGCAGCCACAACUGGAGGAAAUAGACACUGCAAGGAUUCAGUGUAGUGUCUGGAGCUGAGGGAUCUGGAUGUGGAUCAACUUGCAAAGGGAUCCUGUAGACAGGCAUGACAGAAAGUGGACAAGAGGACCACCCUGACCCCAGAGACAUGAGCCAUCAAGUUUCCUGUCCUCAGUGAGCUUGGAGUUAGUAAACCAAUUCUGAAGGAGAGGUGUUUCUGCUGGUGAGUCUUACUGUGAGCCAGUGUGGGACAGGAAAAGGACCUAGAGUUUUACUCUGAGAUGGGGAAAAUCACAACCUUGCCCGGCAUUCACCCGUUUCCUCUUCAGACAAGCAAGUCCCUUACAUCUUCUCCAUUUCCCUGGCCACCGUAUCACACUCAGUAGUGAUUCUCACAGGUGUGAAUUUCUGAGACUCAGGACAACCAUCCACUAUUUUCUAACUCUGGGAAUUCUGUGAAAACCACAAGCUAGAGACUUCCCUCCCAUGAUCCUCAGGGACCUUGACUCUCCGGGGAGGUUCACAAGAUUCCCGGGACUUGCUCUUCAAGAGAAAAUGGGCAUGAAGCAGCUGAAGCCCAGGGGCCUUAUGGAGACUGUCCGUUCUGAAAGCGAAGUGUGAGUCCUCUGGGAAGAAGCAGAUCCUUUAUGACUAACAUCAAC
rnacentral:lncRNA from 1 species